rnacentral:rRNA from 1 species
GUGAGGAAUAUUGCGCAAUGGAGGCAACUCUGACGCAGCCAUGCCGCGUGCAGGAAGAAGGCGCUACGCGUUGUAAACUGCUUUUAACCGGGAAGAAACCCCAGGACGUGUCCUGGGUUGACGGUACCGGAGGAAUAAGCACCGGCUAACUUCGUGCCAGCAGCCGCGGUAAUACGAAGGGUGCAAGCGUUAUCCGGAUUCAUUGGGUUUACAGGGUGCGUAGGCGGAGCGUUAAGUCAGUGGUGAAAUCCUGCAGCUUAACUGUAGACUUGCCAUUGAUACUGGCGCUCUUGAGUGCGCUUGAAGUGGGCGGAAUGUGCCGUGUAGCGGUGAAAUGCUUAGAUAUGGCACAGAACACCAAUUGCGAAGGCAGCUCACUAAGGCGAUACUGACGCUGAGGCACGAAAGCGUGGGGAUCGAACAGGAUUAGAAACCCCAGUAGUCC